GUGGUAGGGGAAUGAAAUGGCUAUACAGGAUGUUACAAAUGUUCGUCAAAGGGAGUUCACGUGUUUAGGUUAUGUUUUGAUAACGUGAAAAUUGUAGUUAGACAGGGUAAUGUAUAAGAAGGUAAAUCAAGUGGUAGGGGAAUGAAAUGGCUAUACAGGAUGUUACAAAUGUUCUUCAAAGGGAGUUCACGUGUUUAGGUUAUGUUUUGAUAACAUGAAAAUUGUAGUUAGACAGGGUAAUGUAUAAGAAGGUAAAUCAAGUGGUAGGGGAAUGAAAUGGCUAUACAGGAUGUUAGAAAUGUUCCUCAAAGGGAGUUCACGUGUUUAGGUUAUGUUUUGAUAACGUGAAAAUUGUAGUUAGACAGGGUAAUGUAUAAGAAGGUAAAUCAAGUGGUAGGGGAAUGAAAUAUGUUCAACGAGAUAAUUAAAGAUAUUCAUCAAAUGAAUUAACGUGUAGAGGUUAAUUUUUAGAGAUACGAAAUUUUUAAUUUGGUAGAGUAAUAUAUUUAUAUGGGCUGAGCCCUGGUAUAUGAGAUACGUGCGAGUCCAGGGAGUUUCUAUGGCAUAAAAUAGGAAGCGAAUUACAUUUUGGAAGCUUCGAUUCGAAGAAAAAUCGGACGAACCGAUGUUAAAGAAUAUAAAAGCAUAUUUCGUGUGAGUACUGCUAUUCCACAUUGCUACUAUUCUUCGCCAUCGCGUAUCUUAGAAAAUCCCAAUCCCAUUUCGUUAACCAGAAAACCACAAUCUUCUAACCAAGACUUCUUUUCCGCAAAAGGGGAAGUCCACGGUUGUUUCUUUUCACAUCGGGGACAAAGCAGCGGCGUUUCUACUCCAAAAGGUCUGUACGCUGUUAGAAAACGAACAAGCAACGAUGAGAAAGAAAGCCGUAAAUAAGAAGGACAAACUGAGAAUGAAGUAGUACAGAGACGAUAAAACGAAAGAAAUUGUACGAAAAGGGGGUUGAUAAAAAGGAAACGAAGGCCAAGAGAGGAAAGAUAAAACCAUACACACUCUGUCGCCAACACGCUUCUCCUGACGCCGCUUUAUCCGGAAGUAGGGGAGGAGGGGCAGAGCUCUAGAAUCGAUAACCGCCCCUCUGCUACGUCGAAAGGGGUCGCCGCCACCCUCCUGGCACGGCUUUUAAAAGAGAGGAGGCUUCGAACACCAGGUCGUCCCCCAAGGGGGAAAAGCCGGCUGGUGAAGCGAUGACGCCAACGAUGACGAUCAUCGUCACACUUUUUUUUUUUUUUUUUUAAUCAUAUCACAGACCACCUCUGCGUGUUUGCCUCUUUGUCAAUUAAAUAAUAUUUAGGGAAAUUUCUUUUGUUUUCAGGCGAUCUAGCGUGGUUUGUUGUAGAAAUAGGACUCGAGAAACGAUUGCACGUGUUUGACAUAGUUUGAAGACCUUUUUAAAUGCCUAUAACGAGGAAUGCUUUGGAGAACUGAAGCUUGAGAAGUCUACCCUCAAAGUGUUUUUGGAAAAUUUCUUUCAUUUCUAGGUGAGCUAGUGCGAUUUCUUGUAAAAUGGUUGUACAUGUUUGAUGUGGUUUGCAGAUUUUUUUUAAAUGGUUAUGGUGAGGAACAUUUUGAAGAAUAGAAGCCUGAGGAGAUUGCCAUCAAAUGUAGAAAUAUGUGGGGAAAUUGCUGGUUCUUUUGCUUUUGGAUGGUCUGGCGUGAUUUAUCGUAGAAACGUAGUUUGACACUGGUAAUCUGUGCACGUGUUUGAUGUGGUUUGCAGAUUUUUUUUAAAUGGUUAUGGUGAGGAACAUUUUGAAGAAUAGAAGCCUGAGGAGAUUGCCAUCAAAUGUAGAAAUAUGUGGGGAAAUUGCUGGUUCUUUUACUUUUGGAUGGUCUGGCGUGAUUUAUCGUAGAAACGUAGUUUGACACUGGUAAUCUGUGCACGUGUUUGAUGUGGUUUGCAGAUUUUUUUUAAAUGGUUAUGGUGAGGAACAUUUUGAAGAAUAGAAGCCUGAGGAGAUUGUCAUCAAAUGUAGAAAUAUGUGGGGAAAUUGCUGGUUCUUUUGCUUUUGGAUGGUCUGGCGUGAUUUAUCGUAGAAACGUAGUUUAACACUGGUAAUCUGUGCACAUGUUUGAUGUGGUUUGAAGGCUUCUUUAAAUAUUCAUAUUUAGAGAAACAUUUUGAAGAAUGAUUUAAGUGUGCAUUUGAGGAGAUUGUCUUCGAGUGGGAGAGUAUUUUUCAAAAAGUAUUCGUUUUUUUGCUUCUAGUUUGUUUAUUGUAGUUUAGUUUGAUUUGCAGUUUUGUACAAACGUGUCAUAGUUGUUUGUACAGUUUUAAUGUGACCUUUUAAGUAGUUUGCUUAAGUUGAUUUCUAAGUAACUUCACAGACUACUUCUGUAGUUGCUUUUCUGUGGAUCAAAUGUGGAAUUAUUUUGAUAGAAGAUCUAUUCCACUUUAAAUACUGAUACAAAUCUAACAGUUGCACAACUAUAUCUUCCUAUUUUCAUUAACUAUCUUUUAUUACUCGUCUUAUCCAUACUUUGCUCUUCUACACGGACAAAAAUGUAAUAGCUCCCUAAUCAAAUUACUAUAAUUCACUUUCCAUGAUCAAUAUCAAUAUCAUAGAGUCUUAAACAAUUUCAAACUUCGCUCAAGUAUUAAAAGGGAAGAAAGAGGAGAAAAAGACGACGAAGAUGGAUUGUAUUUCUUAUUAAGAGGCCCUUUAAUAAUUUCAUGCAGCACUCAGAAAGAUCUGCCUGGAACUUGGUGAAACUUAAUGGAAAUUCAAAUACGAGAUCGCGAAUGAUUUCAAUUUGCAUGAGAACAGGGGAAUCAAGACCAAACCCAUCGAAAGGAUAAAUCAUGAAUGUUCUAUUUCUGUUAACAACGGUCGAGCGUGAGCAAGUGGGACGACCUAGUAUUCUGAGCCUCCACAACUCAAGUCCUGAAAACGAUUGCUUCAACUCACUGCACAACUUUGUAUUGCAUACAACAUUCCAAUUAAGUUUCUAGUCGUCCCUUUCUCACUGCAACCUGUGUUUAAUUCAGAAUCUUCAUGGAAGUAUGCAACUGUUAAUAUGAAAUAUGCAAGGACGGAUCGCUCACAGAGAAUGAAAGAAAAGUAAAGCGAUGAAGCGAAUUAGUAGUAGCAAUAAUCUCACAGAAUUUCUAAUUGUGGAAAGUGCAAGUAGUGAUUUAUUCAUAGCCACGCGUUCAGAAGAAAUUUCAUUCAAUUUAAUAAGCUUGUGGAUUUCAUUUGGUUUCAGUUUUAACCAAGUCAGAUGUAAGAUACAAGUUCUACCAUGAAGAGUGAAGCCUCAGGUUCUUUGCCCUUUAUUAUUUCUUUAUUUUAUUUUACUUUUGGCAAUAGAAGAUCUUAGAUUCUUUAAUUUAAACCUUGAGAUCUUCGAUUUUAUUCAUGACAGAUCUUGGAUUCCACAAUUUCAUUUGACUUUUACAUAGAAAAUCCGAUGCUUGUUGUUCUUAUGUAAUAUACAGUGCCUGGGUAGUUUCAGUUUAAUCGAUUUAAAAUCUUCAACCCUAUUCUUAAUCUUUUUCGUAGAAAAUAAGAUCUGACAUUUUUACGUUUUGCUUGACAGAACUAUAUUCCAAAGUUUCAAUCAGCCUGGAAACAACUAGACACAGAACAGCGUCAAAAGAGCCAAUACAAUUCCCUGUCCCUAUCUUUCAACGAGCAGAAUAUUACUAAAUCCAUCAACCGUCUGCAUCAUUUACUUGAAACAGCAAAAAAGCAGGACAGACAGAGACACGAAGAUAGAGAAGAUUAAAAGGAAGGAAUCAUGCGAGCACUGGCAACGAUCCAGCGAGGACAAGAGUGCAUAGGACACGAGUAUACAACGGCGAAGCUGUCCUACGACUACGAUUUCCAAUCUUCCUCAUCUUAUGGCACGUGUAAGCUAAUCAUCAGACUGCUGAUUUUUACGCGAAUUUUGCGCGAAAUUUGUACAUACAAAAAUAUAAGUAGAAUAUUAAUAAAGAUACAAAUAAUAAAAACAACUAAAAAAUACACUACAAAGAAAAUAAGAAGAAAAAAAAUAUAAUAUACAAAAAAAAAGAACAUUAACUAUAGCUUGCAAUGGGUGUAACAAAUCUCUACCAGAUGUCUGUAUCUUUUAGUUGCUACCAUAAAGAUAUGAAAUUGGGUAAACAGCGGCAGUAAAGAAGUCAGUGGUACUAAAUAAAUAGCGAGACGUGACACGAUAUUUUCAAAAUUUUCUCGGCCACCAGUUGAAGAUCGCAGGUCCAGGGCGAUGAUUGCGAGCUUUGUAAUUUCAGGUCACGCUCGUUAAUGAUCCCUCGAGCACGGAAUAAACGUGACGCUCCAUCGACGAAUUCAAUUGCGUCCAAUGGAAUUUACAUGGUUUCCUGUAUUAACAGAGCGACGCCGGGUGACGGUGACGACCUCAGCCCUCGGAAAUGUCCGAAUAAGUUUGCCCUGAUGUCGCCUGAAUUUAGUUACUUAGUUACUUAGUUACUUUGGAUCGAUGUUGCGUUCAAUUGGUAGUUGUUAGGGAGAUUUCAAUGGUGUUUGUACCUUGAUUUUGAUGUUAUUACUGGCUUCUUAGUAAUGGUAGUGGUUGUUGUUGCUAGUGGUAAUUUUCUAAUUUACUGAUGCUGUUGUAAGACCUAUGGAUGUAAAAUUUUAUUGAAAUUUAUGAUAUCCCAUGAUCUAACAGAAUUAGUUAGAAUGGAAUAAUCUUAUCUUCAAUAUCUUUAAAUAAUAAUAUUAAUAAUAAUAUAAUCUGAAUGUUAAAUAAGGUUAUUUAACUAACCUUAUUUAACGCCUAACCUAACUUACAUGGAACUUAUUCCUAGGAGCCAUUACGAACUCAAAAAUAUAGCAGUUGUGGCAACUCAAAAACACGAUACAAUGUUUAUAAUCGUAUUAAUUGUGUUGACCGGUCAUGCUGCUUUUGCAAUUGAAUAAUCUCUGGAUCCGUGGCUCAGGAACUCUCUAUUUCCCUCCUAGAGAGAAACGAGCCGCAGGUUCAGCGGAACGUGUCCUCGAAUUAAUAAAGAUGAUCAUGCUAAUCAGUAGAGAACGUGGCGUCUGAAAGAUCCGCGACUGUAUCGCUUGAGCGUGGCGCAGCCAGUGUGGAGCCGUGUAAUUAAACGGGGUUCGUUGAACUUGCGCCGAGUUUGCUGAAUCCGACCGUGUUCGUUUUCACCUCCUCGCGAUUCUUCUCUCUGACAGUUGAAUUAUGACCAAUACUCGUCUCGUUCCACUAUUUCUCUCUUCGAUCUUUUCUCUAAAAUUAGUUUCACCGCUGGAAACGUUCGAACGGUUAGAAAAGUUAUCCCGUCGGUUUGCAAGUUGCCGAGAAUUCGAAGUUUUUUCAGUCGGUAACCGGUGAAUGUGGUGUCGUCUCUUCUUUAGGAAAGUCGAAAAGAUGUUUGAUAGGUGGCGGAGUGGUGGCUGACGAAUCUAGGUUAGGUUAAGUUCUAGUUUUCUGGUAUCGAGGGCGCUGACACUUGAGAAGGUUGAGUUAAGUCUUUUAUCCUCGAUGUUACAAUAUAUCCCUGAUUUAUUAGGUACUAGAAUGAUUAUGGAGAAUGUGGUACACUUGGAACAUCAUUGGCAACUGAAAUAAGGAUUCUUCGGCAAUUAUACGGGUAAUUUGGUAAUUAUAAGAGAUAAAAUUCUUCGGUUUAUACAGAUCCUAGAAUCUUUAAUCUUUGAAUUUCUGGAAUAUGUGGUACACUGAGAAAAUUGUUGGAAAUUGAGGAAAGGAUUCUUUGACAAUUUACUUGCAAAGAUCAUUAACCUCUGAUCUUUAUAUUUCUAGCUUAUAUUAAAUAAUUCUUCCGUUAUUAAGGAUUAAGAAUUAUCAUCUCUUAGUUGGAAUCUUUCAUUAAACAGAAUUAGAAACUCUUUUGGCCUCUGGUUUAACCUAUUCUGGUAUUUGGAUUGUUAAUUUUUCUAUUGUCUUUCUUAAUACAAUAUUCUUUACUUCCAUAAAUUUUUAAUGAAAGAACAUCCUAAGCUAAUAGAAUUCUGAACUAAAUAUUUUUAAUUCUCAAUUCUUCAAUUCUAUACAACACGUACUUAGUAACCCUUAACAUUUUAGAAUAUAAUCCAAAACUAUUAUAUUUCCCUAUAACCAGUAAGAUAUUCCAUACUUUCAUUACUGACAACAUUGACACCAUCAAAAUGACUAGGAUUGUUCACAAAAUUACUAGCAAUUGCUACCAAUAUUUAAGAUUAUAUGGCAGAUCAGUUAAGACAUCUAUAAUACUCGUUAGUAUCUAAAUGCCAGGUAGAUUGAUCCAUAAUCUGAUCUUAAGGACGAUCAUCGUGCACGAAUCAAUCUUUUCGGGCAACGAAUAAUUGCCAGCUAGUCGACAGGAACAAAAAUAGGAGUGAAAGAAUUCUAGUGGUUUCUCGUGGAAACUUCCUCCUCUAUGGUCGUUCCCUCUACUUUUCAGCCUGAAUAUAGCCAGGGAUUAAAGCUACUACGGUUGUAUUUCACGUUUCCAGAAACCAGGGAUUUCCUGGAUCCUUCGAUUGUCACGUUCGUGCGCGUCAAGUGGAGCGAUUCUCUCGGGAGAUAAGACGGGAGAUUAUCCAAAUUCGUGGAAUAUAGACUAACAAGCUGAUGUCACUUGCAAUACAGCCCUUUUUCCUGUCAUUUUCAUUUCCCCAUCUUUUUUUAAUUUUUUUUUUUUUUUUUUUUUUAAGUGACUUAUAGGGAUCUGAGCCAUUUACAUGGGUUUAUCUAAGAGAUAAACGGUUCAUAUAACAACGCACUGCUUCUCAACGCUAUUUAUAUUGGCUAACAAAAAAGAUUUGUUGGAAAGUAAAAAAUUUGCCAAGGACUAGCUAAAAAAAAUUGCUAAAUUUCCUACGAAGAUAUAUAAAAAGCUGCUUUUCUAUAGAUUAUUACAAAGGCUUUGAUGGCUCAUUAUACAUAGGAAUUCAACAGAUAAGACGUCUUCAAAAUCCAAAAUAUAAAAUAUUUCCCGAAUAAACAAUCUGAUUCUAUAUAAAAAAAAAUCAAAAAGUGGCAGCUCUUACCUACCAAAACUCGAUUCCUAAAUAAAUCGAGAUAUUGAGAACUCGUAGAGUGUGUCUAUAUUCGAACAGUUUUUAUUGACCAGAUUUCGCUGAAUUUUCAUUUACAGAUGCUAUUCCAUACGAGCGGAGAAUUAAGACUUUCUUUCUAUGAUACUAGUUGCACUUUCAUACAUUCUACAACGUUUUGUUAUAGAACGUGCUAUAGAAAAUGUUCAGUCGCCAGAAUUAGAAAGGGAAGGGAAUAAAAUUCCCUGUAUUCGUUGGGAAGAAAUCUUUCCCUCCAACGCUGGCGAACUCGUUCCAAGUUUGAAGAGUUGCAGCUACACUGGCGUAACCCGCGGAAUCGUUGCACGAAUGCGUUUAAAAACUUCUCGUCGACUCGUAAACUUUCUUGAAUAUUUAAACAACACCGACAACUUGGAAACAGAGAAGACGAAGCACCAACCGGGGCGGACAAAAUGGGGUGGAGGAAAGGGUGCAGAGUUUUGCAACGAAGGAAUUGCUUCGUGACGAAUGCACCAACGGAGGAGGGGGUGAGAAGUGGAAGGAAAGCAAGAGAGGGGGGGGGGGGAGAGAAAGAGAAAGAGGGAGAAAGAGAAAGAAGGAGAAAGAGAGUUCUCGUUAAACCAGGGAGAGGACGUCUAAUAUCCGUGCAUCGAGGAGCAACGCAGGGCGGCCUUUGAGAAUUUAAGGCCGGUUUUCAUUAAAAGAUCGAGCGCACCAGUGCGAUGCGAUGCGGCGACCGGGCGCUGAAGUAAAUUCUAACUUCUGCCGCUUUCAAUUAUCGCGUCUCGCGGAAGAAUCGCGGCACGAAAACACGCCCCGGCACCGGUGUCACCUAACCUAACAGGAAGCGAACGAAUUAAUGAUGCAAAACGGUCGCCAUUUUAACCGCCAUGACGAUGCGGAAUGCAGUGAACAAUAAUCAUGGAAAUAAUUAUUGUCUGAUCAUGAUCUUAUUAUUCGAUGAUAUCAUCAGUCUGUAAGUAGUAUAAAUGUAAACAAUAACUCUGUCAAUAAUUGAUAGAGGAUUAGUGAAAAUCCUCUUGCAAAAAUAAUUUUAAUUUCCAAUUUAAACAUUUCUUUCUUUCUCUGAGAAACAAUUUAAAAAAAUCAACGGUCCAAAUCAUCCUGUAGCUUUGAUUGUUCUAUGUCAAGAACAUAUUGUAUUGCAUUGUUGUUUGACUUUUUACCGUUCUCUAUUCUUUUAGUGAAAUCUAUUCUAAUAAUAAUAUUUCCGAUAAUAAUCAGGAUUUGGUUGAAGCGUCAAUUUCUGACCACAUGUAUAGUCAGAAAAUUUUUAGAGUUACAUAAAAUCUUUGUCCUUUGCUAAAUGCCAAUACAAUAUCUGACGAAACGGACGGGGAGAUAAAUGAUUUCUGCAUGGCACUUAAGAAAAGAUGAGAGAAUUGUUCCUCGUAUCGAUAUUAUUUACUUAAACGUUAUCGUGUAUGGUUGGACAAAGAUAUGAAUAUUCAAAAUAUUUAAACUGCGUCAGAGAGUAGAGAAAAUACUAACAAAGAUAUGAUAAAGAGACUUUUACUCUCGUCGGAUCCCCCGAUAUCAAGUUUCAAAAAGCUGCACAUUAUGUGCAUCUUUUUAUUUUUGUCCCGAAUCCUUAUCCAAAUGCCGUAUUGUGUAACGUGAGAACAUAACCUGUAAACGUGCGAAUGUGGCGUGUGAUCCUGUUCUGUGAACGUUCGAAUGUGGACUGCGAACAUGUGAAUGUGGCAAAAGUGGCCGGCGAAUGUUGACUUUUAUACCGAAUCCUCAUUCAACUGCCGCACUGUGCGCCAUUACUUUUAUUAAGAACGAAUCGCAACAAACAGCGUCGUGCGAAACGUCUUCAAUUUUCUCUUACUUUGCUUUGUACUUAUAUUGUUUCGUUAAUUACUGUCAUUCGUUUUGUUCGUACCUAGUUUUAGUGAAAGGUCUUCUUUACUUUUUCCUUUUUUU